rnacentral:tRNA from 1 species
CAAAUGGUAGCUUAAACUAAAGCAUUCGACUUACACUCGAACGAUACUAACACAGUCCUUUUGA